rnacentral:rRNA from 1 species
ACGAACUGUGCAAACGUUAUUCGGAAUCACUGGGCUUAAAGGGUGCGUAGGCGGCUGUCUAAGUAGGGUGUGAAAGCCCCCGGCUCAACCGGGGAAUUGCGCCCUAAACUGGAUGGCUGGAGUGAGGCAGGGGUGUGUGGAACUUCCGGUGGAGCGGUGAAAUGUGUUGAUAUCGGAAGGAACGCCGGUGGCGAAAGCGACACACUGGGUCUCAACUGACGCUGAGGCACGAAAGCCAGGGGAGCAAACGGGA